rnacentral:rRNA from 1 species
GGGGAAUAUUGGACAAUGGGCGAAAGCCUGAUCCAGCCAUGCCGCGUGUGUGAAGAAGGCCUUCGGGUUGUAAAGCACUUUAAGCGGGGAGGAAGGGCUUCUGGCUAAUAUCCAGGAGCAUUGACGUUACCCGCAGAAUAAGCACCGGCUAACUCUGUGCCAGCAGCCGCGGUAAUACAGAGGGUGCAAGCGUUAAUCGGAAUUACUGGGCGUAAAGCGCGCGUAGGCGGUUUGUUAAGUCGGAUGUGAAAUCCCCGGGCUCAACCUGGGCACUGCAUCCGAUACUGGCUGACUAGAGUGUGGGAGAGGAAGGUAGAAUUCCAGGUGUAGCGGUGAAAUGCGUAGAGAUCUGGAGGAAUACCGAUGGCGAAGGCAGCCUUCUGGCCUGACACUGACGCUGAGGUGCGAAAGCAUGGGGAGCAAAC